rnacentral:rRNA from 1 species
UGGCGGACGGGUGAGUAAUGUCUGGGAAACUGCCUGAUGGAGGGGGAUAACUACUGGAAACGGUAGCUAAUACCGCAUAACGUCGCAAGACCAAAGAGGGGGGACCUUAGGGCCUCUUGCCAUCGGAUGUGCCCAGAUGGGAUUAGCUAGUAGGUGGGGUAACGGCUCACCUAGGCGACGAUCCCUAGCUGGUCUGAGAGGAUGACCAGCCACACUGGAACUGAGACACGGUCCAG